CACCCUGCUCGUUCCCUAUCUUCGAGCCCCGCGGCCUCCGUCCGCCUUGCACCGCAACGGCUCCUCCGCAUGCCGCGCUGAGGGGCUCGCCCGCCCGCCGUCGCGACAGAUGGAGGAGCCCAUCCGGUGCGCGGCGACCCUGGCGGCAAUCAGCAAGACACAUACCUGCUGAUGCAGCCUUUACAUCACUGGCCAUGGAAUCCCUGAAAUGGAGAACAAGCUUUGUGCUGUAAUUCUGGUGGACCGCGUAGAAGUCUUCGACGGCCAAUGAAAUGCUGGUUCGUGACACUUUUCCCACCAGCGAGCCCAGAUCGAGGAUCACUCCCACAUGGAACUCGUCUGCUUUGCCGGUGGUUGUGUUCUGAGCUACGCCGGGAUCGACAAGGAGCAAGAGCAAGAGGAAGAGGAUUGCUCGGGGUGUUCUCUCCAUUCCGUGCUGCACGGCAAGGUUUUAGAUUCUUUGGCGCUGAGAUGCACUGCAUUGCACCCUCUUAUGUAGGAUUCACUCGUUGAAGACUUUUCGGCUUAACAAUUGUGUCACUGGUCAAACUGAAGGUUGCAAGGCAAAUCCGCUCAGCUGUGACAGAUUAGUUGUCUACUACCAGCAUCUUUCGUCGUGUACUGUUUCUCUCUUGACUUUGGUGUUCAUUUGCAGCUAACUGUUUCUCUCUUGA